rnacentral:rRNA from 1 species
AACGAACGCUGGCGGCAUGCCUAACACAUGCAAGUCGAACGAAGGCUUCGGCCUUAGUGGCGCACGGGUGAGUAACGCGUGGGAAACUGCCUAUUGGUGUGGAAUAACGACGGGAAACUGUCGCUAAUACCGCAUCAGCCCUUCGGGGGGAAGAUUUAUCGCCGAUAGAUGUGACCGCGUCCGAUUAGGUAGUUGGGGAGGUAAUGGCUCACCAAGGCGACGAUCGGUAGCUCGUCUGAGAGGAUGAGCAGCCACACUGGGACUGGGACACGGACCAGACUCCUACGGGAGGCAGCAGUGGGGAAUAUUGGACAAUGGGCGAAAGCCUGAUCCAGCAAUGCCGAGUGAGUGAUGAAGGCCUUAGGGUUGUAAAGCUCUUUCGGGUGGGACGAUGAUGUCGGUACCACCAGAAGAAGCCCCGGCUAACUUCGUGCCAGCCGCCGCAGUAA